CAGCAGCCGCGGGAAUACGUAGGGUGCGAGCGUUAAUCGGAAUUACUGGGCGUAAAGCGUGCGCAGGCGGUUUUGUAAGACAGGCGUGAAACCCCCGGGCUCAACCUGGGAAUGGCGCUUGUGACUGCAAAGCUAGAGUGCGGCAGAGGGGGAUGGAAUUCCGCGUGUAGCAGUGAAAUGCGUAGAUAUGCGGAGGAACACCGAUGGCGAAGGCAAUCCCCUGGGCCUGCACUGACGCUCAUGCACGAAAGCGUGGGGAGCAAACAGGAUUAGAUACCCGUGUAGUCCCUGUCUCUUAUAC
rnacentral:rRNA from 1 species